rnacentral:rRNA from 1 species
AACGUAGGAGACAAACGUUAUCCGGAAUUAUUGGGCGUAAAGAGCUCGUAGGCGGCUUGUCACGUCGGGUGUGAAAGCCCGGGGCUUAACCCCGGGUCUGCAUUCGAUACGGGCUAGCUAGAGUGUGGUAGGGGAGAUCGGAAUUCCUGGUGUAGCGGUGAAAUGCGCAGAUAUCAGGAGGAACACCGGUGGCGAAGGCGGAUCUCUGGGCCAUUACUGACGCUGAGGAGCGAAAGCGUGGGGAGCGAACAGG